rnacentral:rRNA from 1 species
UACGUAGGGGGCGAGCGUUGUCCGGAUUUAUUGGGCGUAAAGAGCGUGUAGGCGGUUCGGUAAGUCUGUCGUGAAAUCCUGAGGCUCAACCCCGGGACUGCGUCCGAUACUUCCGAGCUGGAGGCAGGUAGGGGAGAUCGGAAUUCCUGGUGUGAGCGGUGGAAAUACGCAGAUAUCAGGAGGAACACCGGUGGCGAAGGCGGAUCUCUGGGCCUUGCCUGACGCUGAGGCGCGAAAGCUAGGGGAGCGAACAGG